rnacentral:rRNA from 1 species
UACGUAGGGUGCAAGCGUUAAUCGGAAUUACUGGGCGUAAAGCGUGCGCAGGCGGUUGUGCAAGACAGAUGUGAAAUCCCCGGGCUCAACCUGGGAAUUGCAUUUGUGACUGCACGGCUAGAGUGUGUCAGAGGGGGGUAGAAUUCCACGUGUAGCAGUGAAAUGCGUAGAGAUGUGGAGGAAUACCGAUGGCGAAGGCAGCCCCCUGGGAUAACACUGACGCUCAUGCACCGAAAAGCGGUGGGGAGCAAACAGG